UACGGAGGAUGCAAGCGUUAUCCGGAAUGAUUGGGCGUAAAGCGUCCGCAGGUGGCUAUGUAAGUCUGCUGUUAAAGAGUGAGGCUCAACCUCAUAAGAGCAGUGGAAACUACAUAGCUAGAGUGCGUUCGGGGCAGAGGGAAUUCCUGGUGUAGCGGUGAAAUGCGUAGAUAUCGGGAAGAACACCCGUGGCGAAGGCGGCUCUCUGGGACGGUACUGACGCUGAGACGCGAAAGCGUGGGGAGCGAACAGG
rnacentral:rRNA from 1 species